rnacentral:rRNA from 1 species
UACGUAGGGGGCAAGCGUUGUCCGGAUUUAUUGGGCGUAAAGAGCGUGUAGGCGGCCAGGUAGGUCUGCUGUGAAAACUCGAGGCUCAACCUCGAGAUGUCGGCGGAAACCAUCUGGCUAGAGUCCGGAAGAGGAGAGUGGAAUUCCUGGUGUAGCGGUGAAAUGCGCAGAUAUCAGGAAGAACACCCGUGGCGAAGGCGGCUCUCUGGGACGUGACUGACGCUGAGACGCGAAAGCGUGGGGAGCGAACAGG